rnacentral:rRNA from 1 species
UACGGAGGAUGCAAGCGUUAUCCGGAAUGAUUGGGCGUAAAGCGUCCGCAGGUGGCUGUGUAAGUCUGCUGUCAAAGAGCGAAGCUCAACUUCGUAAAGGCAGUGGAAACUACACGGCUAGAGUGCGUUCGGGGCAGAGGGAAUUCCUGGUGUAGCGGUGAAAUGCGUCAGAGAUCAGGAGAACACCGGUGGCGAAGGCGGCUCUG